UACGUAGGGUGCAAGCGUUGCUCGGAAUCAUUGGGCGUAAAGCGCACGUAGGCGGCCUGAUAAGUCGGGUGUGAAAGCCCUGGGCUCAACCCAGGAAGUGCACUCGAAACUGUCAGGCUUGAAUAUGGAAGAGGGUCGCGGAAUUCCCGGUGUAGAGGUGAAAUUCGUAGAUAUCGGGAGGAACACCAGUGGCGAAGGCGGCAUCCUGGACCAAUAUUGACGCUGAGGAGCGAAAGCCAGGGGAGCAAACGGG
rnacentral:rRNA from 1 species